rnacentral:tRNA from 1 species
GCUAGUGUAGCUUAAUACAAAGCAUAGCGCUGAAGACGCUAAGAUAAGUCCUAAAAAACUUCACUGGCA